rnacentral:rRNA from 1 species
GGUAUUUUGACUAUACAAAGGUAUUGAAAUAAGAUUUUAAUUGAAUGCUAAGAGAAUGGAAACCCAGAAAAAAACUUUUUUUAAAUUAAAAAUUGAAAUUUUUUUAAUUUGUGCAGAAACAAUUAUUAAUAUUAAGGACAAGAAGACCCUAUGAAUUUAUAAAAUUCUAUUCAAUAUGUUAUUGCUGUUGUAGAAUUUUUGGCUGGGGCGGCUAAAAAAUAUUCUAAACUUUUUAAAAGUAAAAUGAUCCAUUAUUAAUGAUUACAUGUGAAAUA